UUCCCCGUAAACGUCGGUGGGCGUUAACACAUCAGCUGUCAGAAGUAGUAAAUAGUAACGUUAGAGGUUCGUUGAAUAAUGUUAGCAGCAGCUAGCCAUCAUAGACAUUGAUUCACCCUUCUGGAUGAUUUCGAGCUUGUGUACACUACUGUUUAAUAUCCUCCCUCUCCCCGAUUGAGUUAAAGCUAUCUACAGCUAGCCUGCUAGCGCUAGCUGUCGCUAGCUAGUGGACAUAGAAGCAAAGCAGAGCCCAGACAUUCUCUGAUAGAAGUCAAUGGUUGCCUAACAUACGAUGCAAAUGAUUUGCCAAUAACUAAUACUUCAUUAGCAGACUGUUUAGUUAAAUUACCGGGAAGCCAGCCAACAAGUUAGGAUAGCUAACAGUAGCCAAUAGUGCUAUAACAGACUUUUGUUGACAUGAGAUAGCUACCAGUUGAACCUAGUUCUUGUAUCAUGCUGUUAGGCUCAUUGAAAAUUACAAUGUAUUUAGUACAUCUGUAUAGCUAACGCUACGGCUCUGGUGUCCGUAAGACAAUACAGGAAUCUAAAAGAGGAUGGAACUCACUAACUCACUACUAUAUGUACUUAAUGUCUCUAUGUCUUAUUUUUCAUUUUAGAUGACAGAGCACUGAACUGUGAGAUGUCUGUCCAUCAAUUGAAUUGACGGCAAGAUAGUCAAAGAACAGCAAAUUGAUGGGGAGAUUGCUGGGGUUGACAGAGGGGAUGGUUGAACAACUGUUUCCUCUGAUGAAACACAGUCUUGUUUUUUAAGGGGGGAAAGUUAUGCAAAUCAUCGUUGGUUCAGUACCCAAACCAUAAAAAAUACAC